GGCAGUUCUGGAUUUUGAUUGUUGUAACUAAAUUAAUUUCAUUAUUAAAUGCAACUUAAUGUUUUAUUGUAGGUCCUUGAUGAGUCGUUGUAUCACACUGCAGGAGGUGCCUGCAUAGGUUUUACAUUACUGUAGUCUAAGGAAUGGAAUAUGUAAUUAUGAAUGACGGCACUGUGCAUGUUUAUGUACGUAAUCAGUAUGUCCAUAAUAAUGAUUAUUAGAAAUAUUGAAAGAAACUAAAGGGAAUAAGCAUUUAUGUCUUGUCAAACACUUGGCAUUACUAAUGUAUUUUCUUCCUGGCUUAACGCUGAUGUAUUUU